rnacentral:tRNA from 3 species
GCGGGAUGGAGCAGCCUGGUAGCUCGUCGGGCUCAUAACCCGAAGGUCGUCGGUUCAAAUCCGGCUCCCGCAACCA